UGAUGUCCUUCAAGGGGAGGAGACCCCUUGGGAGGCCUACUUCUUGGAGGAGGAACUUGGACUUCUCUUGGCAGAUCUCAUCACCAUGGUAGACCUCAGCCUUGGCCUUGAGCUCCUCUGUGAUUAGAGGCAUCUUCUAAGCUCUUCUGUCUCUUUUCAGGUGAGCUUCCUUUGAGUGGGACUCUGGAUGGGGCUGCAAGAGGGAGUGCAAUGGUGUUUAUAUGAGAAAUUGGUAAUCAAACUGCCCAGAAGUUUUGAAAUAAUUUCACGUCUACCUCAACCCACCUAAUGCAUGUGAUGAUGCGUAGGUGCAAUAAGUGGGAGACAAUUUUUGGUACCACUUGACUUGCACACAUUGUCCCAACGAUAUCUAAUCUAAUCUAAUUAAAUGGAGGC
rnacentral:lncRNA from 1 species